rnacentral:misc_RNA from 1 species
UGAACUUCAACUUGCUGCCACUUUGUAAUAACUUGGGACUGUGGAAUUUCUUUAUUGAUAGCUUCUUCAAGUAAGGCACAACUUCCUUUCUGUCUUCUGCUUUGCGGCAUGCAGUGGUGAAAAAAUCAUUGGCUCUGAAAACAGAAUGAGUUCAACACUUCCAUAUUUCUUCAAAUCUAACUUAUUCCUUCCUUCCGGUUGUGUGGUACGAAUUAUUACUACUGGGUUGUUUUUUUCUAUCUUUUAUUGUUAUA